CCAAAGAAUUGGAAGGCCAGCCUGGCAUGAAUGCAUGUAAGGCUGCCUGCCAAUCAUGUAAGCUGGCCAACUAAGGGCAUACUACGCAGACAUCACCCUGAGCUUGGCAUAAAUGUGUCUAAUUAUGUGCUCGGUCCAAGCUUUCUAAGGACUGCUCCCUAGCACUCACAUGUCCACUUGUCUCCUUACCUUCUUACUAACAAGCGGAAACUUCUGGUAUAUAGUCUGGGACAGAGAUAACAUGUAUGUAUUGAGUGUAGAAAAAAGGAGACAUGCCACAAUGUUAGAGACCAAAGUCAGCAUUACCUUAACUAACUUGAAAAUGUAAGGAAGGCUAGAUAGGAUGUGGUGGUAGGGGACAAAGCCACCACCUCACCACACUCCCGAGGCCUGGGCCUCACAUGAGGAAUGACUAACCAGCGCCUUGGACAGUAUCUGGUCUCAAUUCUGGAUGCAGAUCCACCAACGGCCACAACUAUCCUCGACUAUUGUUG